rnacentral:rRNA from 1 species
GACGAACGCCGGCGGCGUGCCUAAUACAUGCAAGUCGAGCGGACGAAUCGAAAGCUUGCUUUUGAUUCGUUAGCGGCGGACGGGUGAGUAACACGUGGGCAACCUGCCCUGUAGACGGGGAUAACACCGAGAAAUCGGUGCUAAUACCGGAUAACACGAAAUGUCGCAUGACGUUUCGUUGAAAGACGGCGCAAGCUGCCGCUACAGGAUGGGCCCGCGGCGCAUUAGCUAGUUGGUGAGGUAACGGCUCACCAAGGCGACGAUACGUAGCCGACCUGAGAGGGUGAUCGGCCACACUGGGACUUAGACACGGCCCAGACUCCUACGGGAGGCAGCAGUAGGGAAUCUUCCGCAAUGGACGAAAGUCUGGCGGAGCCACGCCGCGUGAGCGAAGAAGGCCUUCGGGUCGUAAAGCCCUGUUGUUAGGGAAGAACAAGUAACGCAGUAACUGGCGUUACCGUGACGGUACCUAACGAGAAAGCCACGGCUAACUACGUG